AGGAUAAACGCUGGCGGCGUGCUUCAGGCAUGCAGGUCGAACGGUUUAUAGGACUUCGGUCUUGUAGAUAGUGGCGGACGGGUGAGUAACACGUAAGCAACCUGCCCCGAAGCGGGGAAUAACUGACCGAAAGGUUAGCUAAUACCGCAUGUGAUGGCGACCCCUGGGAUGUCAUUAAAGGCUUCGGUCACUUCGGGAGGGCUUGCGGUCGAUUAGCUAGGUUGGUGGGUAAUGGCCUACAAGGCAACGAUCGAUAGCUGGUACUGAGAGGCGACAGCCAACGACGGGGACUGAGACUACCGGCCCGACUCCGUACGGGAGCAGCAGCUAGGAUCGUGGAAUGGACAAGCCUGACCCAGCAACGGCGCGUGGCGAGUGAAGG
rnacentral:rRNA from 1 species